UUGGUGUCUCAGCAGUGUUGGUACCAUCCUCUAUUUAACUGACCUUGAAAACAGAAAAUUCAACUAGAUUUUAUGGAGGGCUUAUAUAUACUCAAGUGCUGUCAGGGUAGAUAGAAGUCUAUGAGAUGAAGACCCAAUGCUUAAAAAAUCUAUAGCACAUUAGAUUCUAGCCACUCCUAUCUACUGAAGUAAUUCUGCAAUUCUCAUGCCUUUUUAUGACAGUUCUGGGGGAUCAGUCCCAUGCUGGAAUGCUCAAUAAAGAAUUAUAAGCAUGCUAGAUGGCAGAGAAUGCCAACUUAUUACAAAGACUUGCUGCAGUAUUCCACAAAAAAGUAUAGGUGCAACAUAGUUAUGGGUAGCACAUUGCAGCACACAAUGCUCAUGUACUACAUACACUGGAAACAGAAUGAGAAUGGAGGAGCCUUGAU
rnacentral:lncRNA from 1 species